rnacentral:rRNA from 1 species
GAUGAACGCUGGCGGCGUGCCUAAUACAUGCAAGUCGAGCGAACAGACGAGGAGCUUGCUCCUCUGACGUUAGCGGCGGACGGGUGAGUAACACGUGGAUAACCUACCUAUAAGACUGGGAUAACUUCGGGAAACCGGAGCUAAUACCGGAUAAUAUAUUGCACCGCAUGGUUCAAUAGUGAAAGACGGUUUUGCUGUCACUUAUAGAUGGAUCAGCGCCGCAUUAGCUAGUUGGUAAGGUAACGGCUUACCAAGGCAACGAUGCGUAGCCGACCUGAGCGGGUGAUCGGCCACACUGGAACUGAGACACGGCCCAGACUCCUACGGGAAGCAGCAGUAGAGAAUCUUCCGCGAUGGGCGAGAGCUUGACGGAGCAACGCCGCGGGAGUGAUGAAGGUCUUCGGAUCGUAAAGCUCUGUUAUUAGGGGAGAGCAAAUGUGUAAUUAACUAUGCACGUCUUGACGGUACCGGAUCAGAAAGCCACGGCUAACUACGUG